GAGUUUGAUCCUGGCUCAGGACGAACGCUGGCGGCGUGCUUAACACAUGCAAGUCGAACGGAAAGGCCCUUCGGGGUGCUCGAGUGGCGAACGGGUGAGUAACACGUGGGUGAUCUGCCCUGCACUUUGGGAUAAGCCUGGGAAACUGGGUCUAAUACCGGAUAGGACUACGGGCUGCAUGGUCUGUGGUGGAAAGCUUUUGCGGUGUGGGAUGGGCCCGCGGCCUAUCAGCUUGUUGGUGGGGUGAUGGCCUACCAAGGCGACGACGGGUAGCCGGCCUGAGAGGGUGUCCGGCCACACUGGGACUGAGAUACGGCCCAGACUCCUACGGGAGGCAGCAGUGGGGAAUAUUGCACAAUGGGCGCAAGCCUGAUGGCCAGCGACGCCGCGUGAGGGAUGACGGCCUUC
rnacentral:rRNA from 1 species